CAGUCGCCGCGGUAAUACGAAGGGUGCAAGCGUUACUCGGAAUUACUGGGCGUAAAGCGUGCGCAGGCGGUUUGUUAAGACAGGUGUGAAAUCCCCGGGCUUAACCUGGGAACUGCGCUUGUGACUGCACAGCUAGAGUAUGGCAGAGGGGGGCGGAAUUCCACGUGUAGCAGUGAAAUGCGUAGAGAUGUGGAGGAACACCGAUGGCGAAGGCAGCCCCCUGGGCCAAUACUGACGCUCAUGCACGAAAGCGUGGGGAGCAAACAGGAUUAGAUACCCCAGUAGUCCCUGUCUCUUAUAC
rnacentral:rRNA from 1 species